UUACCCUGCUUUAUUUUUUUCAUAGUGUUUACUACCACCUGACAUUUAUUUAUCUAUUUCUUCAUUCAUUUAUUUUCUCUCUUUUCCCGCAAGAAUGUGAGCUGCUUAAGAGUGGAAACUUUGCUUUGUUUAUUGUUCUAUCUCCAGGUCUAAAGCAGGGUCUGGCCCACUAAGGAAAAUUUUGAUACUGAAUGAUAGGAAGGAAGGAGCCAGAACUCCAACUCAUGUCUUUGUCCCAGGCCCAGGCUGUUUCUUCUUGCAUUUUGAAUACCUCAGAGCCCCUUAAAGGGAGGAACAUACGAGAAUGUCAAAGCAUCCGACAGCCAAAAGGUGGCGCUCCUCACCCACCAUUCAUUUCCUUCCAAGAUUUGCCUGGCCCCUCAACACUAUUGCGGGCACCUCCUGUUGGGGCAUGGCAUGAAUUGGGUGCAGCAUGACGGCAAAAUGGCGUUGGAUUCGAGAAGGAAUUCAAGGACACGUCGCUGAGAAUGAAAUCGGAGCAGCACUUUGGAAAGAAGGUAGGCUUAUAAUCUCUGGGUUAUAUGACUGUGGGGCCUGAGGCUUUCAAGAAAGCAAAUCCCGCUCUGUUAGAGCUUUCCACCAACCCUAAAUACUUUUGAGAUCUACUUCCAGAACGCGCACCACAGAGUAAGGGAGACUUUUGUAGUCUUCUGACUUAUGAAUCGUUAGAAGCAUAGACAUGAAACGUGAUGGAGAGCAACACGCUAGCACCGAGUCAAGGGGCUGAGAAAGCAAGAAGAUUACCCCAGUAAUGCGCCACGAACCUAGAAUUUGGAGACCUAGAGACCUGUGUUUAGAACACAGGCACAAAGUCAGACAGAAGUUAAAAGAGUUUCUGAGCGGCAUAAAGAAAUCGUUAUCAUCGGGGCGCUUGGGUGGCUCCGUCAGUUAAGCGUCUGCCUCUUGAUUUCAGCACAGGUCGUGAUUUCACGGUUCAUGGGAUCAAGCCCCAAAUGCAGGGUCUGCUUGGGAUUCUCUCUCCCCCCCCCCCCCCAUCUUCCUCUGCCCCUCCCCCACUCAUGCUUUAAAAAAUAAAUAAAUAAAAACUUAAAAAAAA
rnacentral:lncRNA from 1 species